GGGUUAGUAGGUUGGUCAUGCCUCUGGUAUGUACUGGUCUCACUGAUUCCUCCUUCCUGAUGAACCUUAAUGCCAUUAAUUUGGUGUUUUGGGGAAUUUGGACUGUUACUUUGAAAAAAUUAGAGUGUUUAAAGCAAGCUAACGCUUGAAUACAUUAGCAUGGAAUAAUGAAAUAGGACGUUUGAUUCUAUUUUGUUGGUUUCUAGGAUCGACGUA
rnacentral:rRNA from 1 species